GUCUCUGUGGCGCAAUCGGGUAGUACGUUUUGCUGUUAACUGAAAGGUUGGUGGUUCAAGCCCACCCAGGGAGG
rfam:Danio rerio unplaced genomic contig NA367, GRCz11 reference primary assembly.